CUUAGGUGACUGCGGAGAUCAUUACCGAGUGCGGGCCCCUCGGGGCCCAACCUCCCACCCGUGUUGCCCGAACCUAUGUUGCCUCGGCGGGCCCCGCGCCCGCCGACGGCCCCCCUGAACGCUGUCUGAAGUUGCAGUCUGAGACCUAUAACGAAAUUAGUUAAAACUUUCAACAACGGAUCUCUUGGUUCCGGCAUCGAUGAAGAACGCAGCGAAAUGCGAUAAMUAAUGUGAAUUGCAGAAUUCAGUGAAUCAUCGAGUCUUUGAACGCACAUUGCGCCCUCUGGUAUUCCGGAGGGCAUGCCUGUCCGAGCGUCAUUGCUGCCCUCAAGCCCGGCUUGUGUGUUGGGCCCCGUCCCCCCCGCCGGGGGGACGGGCCCGAAAGGCAGCGGCGGCACCGCGUCCGGUCCUCGAGCGUAUGGGGCUUCGUCACCCGCUCUAGUAGGCCCGGCCGGCGCCAGCCGACCCCCAACCUUUAAUUAUCUCAGGUUGACCUCGGAUCAGGUAGGGAUACCCGCUGAACUUAAGCAUAUCAAUAAGC
rnacentral:rRNA from 1 species